rnacentral:tRNA from 1 species
GGUCAGGUAGCCUAGCGUUCAAGGCAGCCCAUGCAUGUUGGGUCUGAUCCAUCGGAUCUGGUUGCUGGUUCAAAUCCAGCCCCAACCA